UUAUGGCCAUAUCAGUUUGAAAUACCAGUUCCCCUGUACAAUCACUAAAGUUAAGCAACAUCAAGCCUGGUCAGUACCAUGAUGACCACUUGGGAAACCAGGUGCUGUAAG